CAUGCAAGUCGAGGGGCAGCGCGAGGUAGCAAUACUUUGGCGGCGACCGGCGCACGGGUGCGUAACACGUAUGUAACUUACCUCUUACAAUCGGAUAACACGGUGAAAGUCGCGCUAAUACGGUAUAGUUUCGCAAGCUCGCAUGGGCAUGCGAAUAAAGAUUCAUCGGUAGGAGAUAGACAUGCGGUCCAUUAGAUAGUUGGUGAGGUAACGGCUCACCAAGUCGACGAUGGAUAGGGGGACUGAGAGGUUGACCCCCCACACUGGUACUGAGACACGGACCAGACUCCUACGGGAGGCAGCAGUGAGGAAUAUUGGUCAAUGGGCGAGAGCCUGAACCAGCCAAGUCGCGUGAAGGAAGACGGUUCAUAAGGAUUGUAAACUUCUUUUGCAGAGGAGUAACGGUAGGCACGUGUGCCUGUGUGAACGUACUCUGCGAAUAAGUAUCGGCUAACUCCGUGCCAGCAGCCGCGGUAAUACGGAGGAUACGAGCGUUAUCCGGAAUUAUUGGGUUUAAAGGGUGCGUAGGUGGCUAUUUAAGUCAGGGGUGAAAAGCAUGAGCUCAACUCAUGUCUUGCCUUUGAAACUGGACAGCUAGAGAAAAGACGAGGUAUGUGGAAUGUGUGGUGUAGCGGUGAAAUGCAUAGAUAUCACACAGAACUCCGAUUGCGCAGGCAGCGUACCAGACUUCUUCUGACACUGAAGCACGAAAGCGUGGGGAUCAAACAGGAUUAGAUACCCUGGUAGUCCACGCAGUAAACGAUGAAUACUAGUUUUUUGCGAUAUACGGUAAGAGACUAAGCGAAAGCGAUAAGUAUUCCACCUGGGGAGUACGCCGGCAACGG
rnacentral:rRNA from 1 species